UUUCCGUAGGUGAACCUGCGGAAGGAUCAUUACUGAGUUUUGAAUGAAGUUGUUCUGGUCUUUCGGGGCAAGGGAACGCUUCUCUCAAUCCAUCUUACACCUGUGCACCUAUCGGGGAAGACUUGGAUCUAAGUUGGGUCACGACGGCGAUCUACAGUCUCCUCAUUAUACCAAAUAACAUCUUUAGUAUGUCUUUUUUGCUUGAUGCAAACUUAAAUAAAUACAACUUACAGCAACGUAUCUCUUGGCUCUCGCCUCGAUGAAGAACGCAGCAGAUCG
rnacentral:misc_RNA from 1 species